rnacentral:lncRNA from 1 species
CUGAGGCUCACAGGAUGGGGGCAUAAUUUCUGAGAAGGAUGACAGAACAGUUGACAGAAGUUUGUUUUCUUACAAGGUUUUUCAUACUUCUUUGCAAAGUCAUAAACAAUGCUAUUUUUGUGUCUUUCUUGUCAGCAACCAAGCUCUUAAAAAGUUUCCUCAUCCAAGGAUUAAGGUUGUCAUAACUUUAAAACAUGUUUGAUGGUUGUGGUUGCAACCAUGAAGUUUUACCUCCAGACUACAGAUGGCAGUGUUGCAUUAAGUUGUGGUGUUUGGGAGUUUGGGAUUUAUCAUUCACAUAUCAAAGUGAUUGACAUGUUCUUUUACAGACCAUUUACAAGCAUUUAAUGACCUUUACAAGAAAAGGCCCUUCUUUUGGUUCAAUCCCCUGGUUGUCUGGGAGACCGUCAUCCACAAGUAAACGAUACCCUUCCUCAGAUCUAACAUCCUUGAUGGCUCCUCAAAAAGCUUCACUUCAGCUCAGCGGUUCCUGUAAAAAUAACCACUCUGUCAGCUUCCCUUCAAACGUACCUCAGCUUUCAUUGGUUACGCAAGUUUGGAGUAAAAAAAAAAUCAAAUGCAGACACAUCCAAGGGCCGGGGCAUUAAAACUGAUGAGCAAAUGGCUCCCUCCGCCUCGGCUUUGAACUCUCGACCCUCUACGACCCCCUCCCAGCCCCCUUCAUUUUUUUUUUUUUUUUUUUUACAACAACUGGGUGUACCACUAGAAAAAGAGCCGUAAAGUCAGCGCUCAACUUUUCCGCCGGUCUAUAUGUGAAAUGAGACAAUUGCCGCGACUUAAUAAACAAAAGGAGAUGGCUGUAACAGCUGCCCCAGUACGGGUGAGCGAGAAGCAAGACAUUCAUUUAGCUCAACGCCGUUCAACAAUUACCAGCCGGUGCCGUAGGAAACCAGACGUCCCUUUUCACGGCCACAUGCACCUCGCACUCACUCAAGUCCUGGUCCUGGACCUCGUUUUCAUUGCCUUUCCUCUACAUAUUGUUUCUCUCCAUUUCUUCCCCCCCCCCCUCAACUGCACUGUCCAUGUUGUGUUCUACAGUUCUUCUAUUUGGGUCUUUCCGCUCUGUGUCUUUCUCACUGUCCAUGUUGUGUUCUACAGUUCUUCUAUUUGGGUCUUUCCGCUCCGUGUCUUUCUCACUGUCCAUGUUCUGUUCUGUUCUACAGUUCUUCUAUUUGGGUCUUUCCGCUCCGUGUCUUUCUCACUGUCCAUGUUCUGUUCUACAGUUCUUCUAUUUGGGUCUUUCCGCUCCGUGUCUUUCUCACUGUCCAUGUUGUGUUCUACAGUUCUUCUAUUUGGGUCUUUCCGCUCCGUGUCUUUCUCACUGUCCAUGUUCUGUUCUACAGUUCUUCUAUUUGGGUCUUUCCGCUCUGUGUCUCUCACUGUCCAUGUUGUUCUACAGUUCUUCAAUUUGGGUCUUUCCGCUCUGUGUCUUUCUCAUGGCCUGCACAUCUCCAUUCUUUUCUCCCUCUCUUGCGGUACUCGUUUGUCUCGGCCCGUUGUCUAA